UACGUAGGGUGCGAGCGUUGUCCGGAAUUACUGGGCGUAAAGAGCUCGUAGGCGGCUUGUCGCGUUGUCCGUGAAAAUUUACCGCUCAACGGUGAACUUGCGGGCGAUACGGGCAGGCUAGAGUACUGCAGGGGAGACUGGAAUUCCUGGUGUAGCGGUGAAAUGCGUAGAUAUCAAGAGGAACACCUGAGGUGAAGACGGGUUGCUGGGCUGACACUGACGCUGAGGCGCGAAAGCUAGGGGAGCAAACGGG
rnacentral:rRNA from 1 species